GGUAAUACGUAGGUGGCGAGCGUUCUCCGGGUUUACUGGGCGUAGAGGGAGCGUAGGCGGAUGAUUAAGUGGGGAUGUGAAAUACCCGGGCUCAACUUGGGAGCAGCAUUCCAAACUGGUUAUCUAGAGUGCAGGAGAGGAGAGUGGAAUUCCUAGUGUAGCGGUGAAAUGCGUAGAGAUUAGGAAGAACACCAGUGGCGAAGGCGACUCUCUGGACUGUAACUGACGCUGAGGCUCGAAAGCGUGGGGAGCAAACAGGAUUAGAUACCCUGGUGUCCCACGCCGUAAACGAUGAAUACUAGGUGUGGGGGUUUCAACACCUCCGUGCCGCCGCUAACGCAUUAAGUAUUCCGCCUGGGGAGUACGGUCGCAAGAUUAAAACUCAAGGAAUUGASGGAUUGGGAGGACAUGAGGGAAAAAAAGGUA
rnacentral:rRNA from 1 species